CACGUAGGGACCAAGCGUUGUCCGGAUUCAUUGGGCGUAAAGAGCUCGUAGGCGGUUCGAUAAGUCGGGUGUGAAACCUCCAGGCUCAACCUGGAGACGCCACCCGAUACUGUCGUGACUAGAGUCCAGUAAGGGAGCGUGGAAUUCCUGGUGUAGCGGUGAAAUGCGCAGAUAUCAGGAGGAACACCGGUGGCGAAGGCGGGUCUCUGGGCAACAACUGACGCUGAGGAGCGAAAGCGUGGGGAGCGAACAGG
rnacentral:rRNA from 1 species